rnacentral:rRNA from 1 species
UUCCAGACUCCUACGGGAGGCAGCAGUGGGGAAUUUUGGACAAUGGGCGCAAGCCUGAUCCAGCUAUUCCGCGUGUGGGAUGACGGCCCUCGGGUUGUAAACCACUUUAGUAGAGAACGAAAAGGAGCUAUCGAAUAAAUAGCUCUGCUGGCGGUACUCUAAGAAUAAGCACCGGCUAACUACGUGCCAGCAGCCGCGGUAAUACGUAGGGUGCGAGCGUUAUCCGGAUUUAUUGGGUUUAAAGGGUGCGUAGGCGGAUUUGUAAGUCAGCGGUAAAAAUGCGGUGCUCAACGCCGUAUCGCCGUUGAAACUGCAGGUCUUGAGUGAGCGAGAAGUAUGCGGAAUGCGUGGUGUAGCGGUGAAAUGCAUAGAUAUCGCGCAGAACUCCGAUUGCGAAGGCAGCGUACCGGCGCCGGACUGACGCUGAGGCACGAAAGCGUGGGUAUCGAACAGGAUUAGAUACCCGCGUA